rnacentral:rRNA from 1 species
GACGAACGCUGGCGGCGUGCUUAACACAUGCAAGUCGAACGAUGAAGCCUGGCUUUCUAGGUGGUUUAGUUGCGGACGGGUGAGUAAGACGUGAGUAACCUACCUUUAUCUCUGAGAUAAGCCUGGUAAACUAAGUCUAAUACCUGAUACGACCAAUCUCCGCAUGGGGUGUUGGUUGAUAGCGUAAUGUAGUGGUUAUAGAUAGGCUCAAGGCCUAUCAGCUUGUUGGUGAGGUAACGGCUCACCACGGCGACGACGGAUAUCCGGCAUGAGAGUGUGAACGCGGACCAUGGGACUGAGAGAGGGAGCAGAAUGCUACGGGCGGCAGUAGUGGGAAGCAUUGCAGAAUGGGGGCGAGCGUGAUGUAGAGAUCUCGCGUGCGGGAUGACGGCUUUCGGGUUGUAAACAAAUGUUAGAAGAGAAGAAGAGAUAUUGACGGUACCUGAAGAGAAAGCGCCGGCUAACUACGUG